AUACAGAGGUGGCAAAUGUUGCUCGGAAUUACUGGGCGUAAAGGACGCGCAGGCGGACUGUUAAGUCAAGAGUGAAAACUUCCGGCUCAACCGGGAGCAUGCUUUUGAAACUGGCGGUCUUGAGACACGUAGGGGAUGACGGAACACCUGGAGUAGCGGUGAAAUGCGUAGAUAUCAGGUGGAACACCGGUGGCGAAGGCGGUCAUCUGGACGAGGUCUGACGCUGAGGCGUGAAAGCCGGGGGAGC
rnacentral:rRNA from 1 species